GAUGAACGCUGGCGGUAUGCUUAACACAUGCAAGUCGAACGGACUCUUCGGAGUUAGUGGCGGACGGGUGAGUAACGCGUGAGAAUCUGGCUUUGGGUUCGGGACAACCACUGGAAACGGUGGCUAAUACCGGAUGUGCCGAGAGGUAAAAGAGAAAUUGCCUGAAGAUGAGCUCGCGUCUGAUUAGCUAGUUGGUGAGGUAAAGGCUCACCAAGGCAGCGAUCAGUAGCUGGUCUGAGAGGAUGACCAGCCACUCUGGGACUGAGACACGGCCCAGACUCCUACGGGAGGCAGCAGUGGGGAAUUUUCCGCAAUGGGCGAAAGCCUGACGGAGCAAUACCGCGUGAGGGAAGAAGGCUCUUGGGUUGUAAACCUCUUUUCUUAGGGAAGAACAAAAUGACGGUACCUAAGGAAUCAGCAUCGGCUAACUCCGUG
rnacentral:rRNA from 1 species